rnacentral:lncRNA from 1 species
GCCCAUGAUGAUCCUCAAGGCUGACAGAUGAAGACACAUGCACUGAGGAGAGACAGCAUCGGUGAUUAUGGAUCUCAUAACCCACUUGGGCCAUUAACUCUCGGAAUUCUCAGUAUUCUGCCCCUUCCAGAAGGAAUUCACAGCUGCUCACAGAUGGCAACUUCCCAUCCUGGCUCCCAUGAAUGAUUCAAACCUUCCUCUGCAGCCUCCCAGAUAAGACUGAAGCGAUGCAAGAGGCCUUGAGCCAGCCCCUUUGCACACAGGUAUUUGCCCUCAAAGCAGGAAAGCAGAAUGGUGAAGAUGCACGAAGGGAAUCAAGACGUGCUGCACCCCUCAUCCCUCAGCCCAAGCCCUUGGUUCUGGCAGCAGCUGACUGCACUGGACAGUGUCAGACAUUCCACAACACCUUGAACUGGGUUUGCACAGCUGCUUCAUAACCUACAGCUCUAAUUUCCUUUCUCUCUGGGGCUAGAAGCAUUCAUUCCCCCUGCAAAUGAAGUCAAUGUGUUUUAAGUUGGAACUGAGGACAGAAACUGUCCAAUUCAUUUCCAACUCCUAAGACUGUAUUGUGUGACUGAUAUUAAAGAACAAAGGCAGAUACCCUCCCCAGCUGUAAAAUAAGGCCAUGACUCUGAAGGGCACAGAGUUGUUCAUUAGAGGUUUCUACAGAAAAUAUUAAGGGCACCAAAUGAUCCCACCAUUUCCAGUUUCCCUUUCAAGUGAUUCAUCUCCAGAUCAGACCUGGAUUCAAAACCCCAUCAUUGGAAGGACCCUCAUUACCUGUGCUAUCAGCACCAUCCAUGAAUGUAUCCUUCACCUCCUAAUUAGGCCAACAAAGGAGGGCUAUUAACAGCUAAAUGUGUUACAAAUGCAGCAUUAGGGGUAGAGACUAUUGACCUUUUUACUCCCAGACAUCUACAUACCCCUUUGUUCUGCUGAACACAGCUCCCCCUUGUCAGGGCAUCAGUGGUGACGGGAAUAUAAUCUGUUCUCUGAUUGCACACAGG